rnacentral:lncRNA from 1 species
UUAAAUAACAUUUUAAUAUGAAAUUACAAUAUUAUUCCCAAUUAAAUUCACUACAACAAAAACGGUCUAUACCGACACUUUUAAAUGUAGGUACAUGUCAAAAAAGUGCUGCUAUCUAAAAUUAUCGACAUUUUUAAAAAUGGUUGCUAUAUGUGGAGUCGCUAGAUAUAUAGUGACAGUUAAAGAGUGUCGCUAUAACCUAAAAGAGUGCUGCUAAUUUACCAACACUUAUUUAAGCAUUUAGCAACCGCAGANAUUUACCAACACUUAUUUAAGCAUUUAACAACCGCCGAAACUCUAUCUCGUUGGCUGCGGUGGCGGAGGAGGACGACAGGAAAGGCUCUUCGUCUAGAAUUUCAGUGGAUUGAGUGAAGAGAGAAGAAAAGAUGGUAAUUGAUUUUUCUUUUUUUUUUUUCUUUUCUGUUUGUAAUCGAACCAAAUGGACUGGGUGUGGUGGAUUGAGUAGAGUAAUCUUUUAUUUUUGGUUGGAUUGGACUUUAUAUUUAGGCAUUAGUAGAUAUUUUUUUAAGUUUUAGGAUAAAUGGGACACUUACUCAAAAGUGUCCCAAACAUGUGUCCCUAUAACCUAAUUUUGUUGUAGUGAUUCUUUAUCAUAUUACACAAUACAAUACGACAGAAUUAAUUCGGAAUAUAUCCUAUAUAAUAUAACUAGUACACAGAAUUUUUUUUUUUUCCAAUAAUCAAUUUAUGGAUCUCCAUACAUUUUCACCUUUUACUUUUAUUAUAUAUAUUGGGAAAACUUCAAAUACCCUCCCAUGUAGUUUCGCAGUUUCUCAUUUUAAUAUUAUGUGGUUUAAAGUGUAUCAAGUUAGUAUCUUGUGGUUUCGUACUUUCUCACUUUAGUACCCUGUAGUUUAAAGUGUAUCAAGUUAGUACUAUGUGGUUUUAUUUUUGUAUCAAGUUAGUACUCUGUGGUUUUAUUUUUCUCUUUUUAUUAUUCAUUUCGGAGUAUUUUUUUCGUUAAAUCACUGACAAAGUUAAAACUAAAGGGUACUAAAAUAAAUAUUCGAUAAAUCUAGAUAGAGUAUCUGAAGUUUUUUUGUAUAUAAUUUAACGAAAUAUUAAACCACAGGGUACUAAAGAGAGAAAGUGCGAAACCAUAUGGUACUAACUUGAUACACUUUCAACUAUAUGGUACUGAAGUAAGAAAGUGCAAAAUUACGGGGGGUGUUUGAAGUUUU